UCACAUUCUGGAUUUCUGGACUGUGGAAGCAAUGUGAGUUUCUUCUGCAGAGAUGGGAUGGCACAGAGGAAGGAGAGCUGCCAGUUACACAGGACUGCAUGGGAGGCAUUAUUUGGAAUGUGCUUAAUGGUGACACCUUUUAAUAACAAUUUUGGAACUCAGUUUAAAAGUGUUCCUUGUGAUCUGCAGCUCAUCCAAAGGCAAGAUGCUUGUCUGCCACCUCCUUCCAACCACCUAUGGUGUUUUUAACACCGCAAUAACACAAAACAGGAAAAACACAGAUCUUUGAGGGUGAGGAUGAUAUGCUCAGCUUUUAAUGUGAAACAAAAUGCAUAAUCAACAAAAGGAAAAAUGAUUGCCUCGCCAACUGAUCCCACCAUCGUCACUGUUCAACUCUCUGUUCAGGGUCCCCUCCGGCUGAUUUCUUCGGGCACAUACACUCUGAAAAUUGGUUCGCCCCCAUGUCUCCACAUAAGGAUUGAUCACCCAGGAGACAGAACUACAGACGCCCUCCCGACAGGGUGUCCUAGGACUGGAGACACCCUGUGGGCAUAUGGCCGUGGCCUAACGAACACGGAAGUCCCCCACAAAGCAUUCUCACCUGGUUCCAAAACACCGCUCUUUCCUCCCUGUCUCUUUUACUUUCACUUUCAGUUCGCUCGUCAAUCUGGUAAGGCAACCACCA